CAGAAUUCAAAGACUUUGACAAAUCAGUAACCCUUUAGGCGACUUAUCUUAGUCUUAUAUAAGUGUCUGCAAGAAUUGAAACACGAAAGGACCUCCAGUUUGCAAGUCUUCAGUUCCUGCACCUUUACAGCUUUGAAAUGAAGGUAAUCGUCGUUGUUCUGUGCGCCCUCGUGGCUGUCAGCCAAGCUGGCCUCAUCUCCCCUGGCUACGGCUAUGGUGGAUACGGCUACGGCAUUGGUGGUCUUGGUGGUCUUGGUGGUGGACGUCUUGGCGGCAUUGGCGGCAUUGGCGGCAUUGGCGGCAUUGGCGGCUGGGGCGGCAUUGGAGGUCUCGGCGGCUACGGUGGGUUUGGAGGCUACGGUGGUUUCGGCGGCUAUGGUUAUGGCGGUGGCUUCCCAUUCAAAGGCUACUACGACUAAGUGAACACCUAUUUAAAUGGUUACGUUCGAGCCACAAGAUUGUUCUUCUUGGGUGAUAACAAUUCAAUCAUGAAUACGUAAAUGAAAUAAACAAUUUAAAAACUUCUAA